UCCAGCUUGUUAUUCAGUUUAGAAAACUAGAUUGGAGCUAUAAUACCUCUUCGUGGACGCAAAGAGAGCAACAGAAAGACUGUGUUAGGAAAUCCCAAUGUCUUCUAAUUCCAAAUUGCCAGUUCUCUGAGCUUCACUCUGUGCAUUUGUCUGACACUAGCUGGCUUACUUUGACUUCUAUUGAAGGCUGCCUUUCUCUCAGCUGUGAUGUAUCCGCCUCUCUAUGGAGAAAUCCCUCAGGGUAUCUCCCUUCUUGCUGGUUUGAUCUCCCUGCUAUCCACUCGAUGAUAGCCUUUCCCAGUGUCUGAGUACUUCUCUGCCUCCCACUCUAAUAGUUUAGAAGCUCCUCUCUCCUGUGCAUCCCCCCAGUUGGUCACUGAUCACUGGCUCCUGAUUUGCCAGCCUCAAUUCUCUGCCUGUUUUGCUUUUUUAUCUUGUCACUCAGAGAAUAAUUUGCUGAGUUAC